UAGAUAUUUUUUUUUUUUUGAACAGCCAGGUGUAGAUUAGAUAAGUAUGUUAAAUCUCACCGAACAAUCGAGAAAACUAUUCGUUUUAUUCUCUUUCAAUAACGAUUCAUUUCCAUCUGAAUCGCAAAGGUUAAUCUCGUGUUUCUUCUUGUAAUCGUUGUCAAUAUUAUGAACGACCUUUGAUUUGGCUACUUGUUGACCUUCGUUGUUUGCAAAUCUGGGAGAUAUAUUGAAGGUGGGUGAUGCUGUUCUCUUUGCCCAGAAGGAAUCGAGGUUAUAUUGUUGCUAACCUUUUCAUCAGAGAAAAUGCAUUCAAGAGUCUCGUCAGUCAUGGCGGUAUACUGGCGCCAUGAAUGAAGAACUUUCACCUGAAUCCUCCAUGAAGUUUUGUGAGGACGUACGUCUCUCAAAUAAGCAAAUGAGGCAGCCAUCGUAGAGUAUAGUAGCUGUGGGAUCUAUCAAGGUAAGUAAGUUUACUUUUGGAUGUGGUGGUGCUUGUAUAGGAUCGAUCAAGACCAGUACCGGCCCAACACUGUGGGCUGCCUAAAGCCAAAAAAAUUUUGUUGCCCCUUUGAGUUAUAAAAACGUGCAUAUAUUGUUGCUACCAAGCUUCGAACCUGAAUCCUUAUCAUCUAAAGAAACAAGGGACAGCCAGUUCACUACGACAUUUAUUUGUUAUUGAUGCCCCAAAAUGUUGUAUAUAUUUUAGCGCCUAAAGCCCUUGCUUCAUUGGCUUUAGAUCAGGGCCGGCCCUGAUCAAGACACAUAUAUAUAUAUAUAUAUCUUUUAAGGUUGUAUGUAGGGUUUUCACAUUUCGCAAGUUUAGAGUAUAUUUUGCCGAUUUU